GAGUUUGAUCCUGGCUCAGGAUGAACGCUGGCGGCGUGCUUAACACAUGCAAGUCGAACGAAGCACUCAGGAGCGAUUUCGGUCAAUCCUGUUUGACUGAGUGGCGGACGGGUGAGUAACGCGUGAGUAACCUACCUCGCAGUGGGGAAUAACAGUUGGAAACGACUGCUAAUACCGCAUAAUGCAGAGAGACCGCAUGAUCUUUCUGCCAAAGAUUUAUCGCUGUGAGAUGGACUCGCGUCUGAUUAGCUAGUUGGUGAGGUAACGGCUCACCAAGGCGACGAUCAGUAGCCGGACUGAGAAGUUGACCGGCCACAUUGGGACUGGAGACACGGCCCAGACUCC
rnacentral:rRNA from 1 species